UCCAACAGACUGUUGGAAGACCUGAUCACCAAAGACCACGAAGAUAUUGUCAAUGAGGAACUCUAGCAUAUUUUUUAUUUCAACUUCAGAGUACUUGUGCGUGGAAUCAGAGUGGUGUUUAACAAAGUAAGUUUUUGAAUGACUGAUCACUAGAUAUGAAUAUUUCCGUUUUCCGUUUUUGUUGAAGAAGCAACUGUCUAUGAUGUCAAAAAGUCUAGUCUUUAAUUUAUCGUGAGGAAUGGUCGUGUAUAGUGUUGAAAAGUCAUAGGUUUUAAUGCUAUUGAUUUGGGGAAAAUUCUGUGAUUUCAAGUUCGAAAUUUUGAGUAUAAGCAGUUUAUUGUAAUGAUUCCGGAUAUUUGAGGUACGACCAUGCGGAGUUCUCAAUUAGUCACUUUAGAUCACGUGAUCUCAUUUGUGUAUAAAUACCGAGACUCCCCAGUCGUCAGUAUCGUUCAGAUAGAAGACCCAGCCAAGUUGAGAGGACGAGAUUAUGUGUACUAAUAAAGUAUUCAUGAUAAACAAUUCCUCGCCUGUUCUUACAGUUAGAGAGUGAAUUUGGAAGGCCAUCAGAAGUCUGGCCUGCCACGAAGAGGUUGACCUCCAGUAAAGAGGCUAGCCAUAGUUCGUUUUUUGUGUCGUCCGCAUUGGCUGAACAGACCGUCGUCCAGGCCGCUAUACACAUUGUCCGUCCUGAAUAAGGCAUCCUACAGUGAGUGUAGUGGUUGAAGGGCUACCACAUAUACUGUCCGUCCUGAAUAAGGCGUCCUACAGUAUAUGGGGUAAUCCGAGGGCGACUGGGCUCUAGAUCUGCAUUUUGUUAAGUUAGCACUACCAGUUUAUCGUUGCUUGCCUCUGAUUGAUAUAGUGAUUCUCUGUUUGAUGAUAAUUAACCUAGAUAAGGUUAGGACAUAUUUGUAUAUUUUGGCAGUCCACUAAAAUCAUACCAAUUAGUUUAAAUUAGUUAUUGUUGAAUACCCCAAACCCUGGAAUUGACCAGGUACGAUCCCAGAAUUGAAUGUAAAUACGUUACAUUAUUAUGGGAUAUUUGUGAGCCACUUUCAAUACAUAUCCAUGGUCUAUAGUCACAUAACCAUUCAAUUUGAAACACUCCAUUUUUAUCCAAUUAUACUAAAGAGAUAGACUCCACAUUUUCGUUAAUCAUCACCCACUCAAGAUAAUGGAUUUCCUUUUAUUGCGGUAGUUCACUUUCUCGCAUAUUACGGCGGCAUGGUUCUGAGUUUGUAAAACACCUGCGCGUUUCUCAAAAAAUUCUCAAGUUCACUGAUAGAGCUCCCAGACGCGGGUACGGACGGAAACCGGGAAUCCGGAUCUCCCCCUCAAGCUGGGAAAUAGAAUUUCAUAUAUUCGCCUGUUUUAUGCAGUUUAAAUUCCUAAAUACAAAAUCUUGGUCACUCGUGGCGGAAAAGAUAUAAACAUGGGAUGGGGCGAUCCGGAUGAUCGGAUGACUAGUAUUUGUUUUCUAAGACCAUCAUCUCAUCAAAAAUUCCAUGUCUUUUAAAUUCCAUUUGACUAUGCAGGAGACACAAUACAGUGUGCGAUCUGAUAUGACUGCGGGUGUUGCACCGAUCCACUUUUUCGAGCAGGAUUUCAAAGGAAAUAAAUUUCAGUGCCAUCAUGUGCCAUCAUGUGCACCUAGUCUGUAAUCAUUUCCACUGUCAUGAUCGUGUGCAGGAUUGGACAAAACAAGAUGGCAGACGGUAUUUCCAAACAAAGAUCCAGUCAGGAGCGGACUUCCUUUAGCUUAAAAGUUGCAAGUGAAUGAAGUGAGUUAUAUUUUAUGUCUCCUACUAAAACCAUGGUUUUGACAAACCUAAAAGAGCACGUGGAGAAAGGAACUAUCAGUAAGCCGGAAGAGCCAGCUCGAAAAUCUUCAAGUGUUUGAGAAUUUCACCGCGCACAUGAAUCUAAAGUUCUGCCACACGUUAGAAGGAGCCUUGUUCUCGAAGAUCAACACGUUGAAAAGUCUUCAUUUUGCAGAAGCAAAUACAUUUAUAUUGUAUAUACACAUGUAGACCAUGUUCGAUUCCCAACCACUUAACAUUUGUGAUAUCUGCAUGGAAUUAUUACAACUGAGCAUGGUUUGACGUAUAAUAAUCUCUUUAGGCACCAUGGUUUACAUUUUACAAAGCUGUUCAAUGACAAUAAAGACUAUAAGAUGU